AUGAAUGUGCAGAUACACCACAAUCCAUAUCAGAGAACAGUUGUAUUACUCAGCUGAUAACUCAGUACCUGUGGUGACCACACUUUGGUACCAUAGAAAUGCUACAUCUUGUUGUUGAGGUGGAUAUAGUUAUAGAUCGAUAAGCUUGCAAAUUUUAUUUAUAAAAACAACCAUUGAUCACAAAAUAUAACGAUAGUGUCUCCGGUGUACGGGACGGUGAUAGGUGAGAGCAGGGUGAAAUACAGGGGGUCUUGGGAGGGUCUGAGACCUCUAGUUUGACCCUUAAGACCCCCUCAAAGCCUCAACAGCAAUAUUUUGGAGGGUCCAUCUAAAUAAAUAUUUGAAAGUUGCAAUUGUCGAACAAAAUGUAUUUUCAAAGCUUAAUAUGUCCAGUAUUCAUUAUUCAAAUUACAAAACAUUUAUUUACAAAUAUGAAUUGGUUCCAGAAUAAAAUUGUCAUAUUGCUAAACCAGGCUGAAGAGAAAACUCACUAUUUUAAAACAUUUGUAACCUGUUCAGUACAUUUGGUUAUAUUGAUGAUAUUUGGGUUCAACCAAUAGGAUGGGUUGAUAUCGAGACUUCGGGGUCAUCUGGGGAAGGGUGAGAGGUCACGAGUGAGCGGGAAAAAGGAGAGAGAGUGAAGAGACAAAGGAGGAGAUUACUUUAUUCUCCGUAGAGAUCACCCAGCAAAAUGGUGUUUAUACAUUUGCUUCUUAGUUGUUUGACGGUUAAAGGAGUACGGGAGAGAGAGUAUGUGGGGAUGGUUUUACUCGUGUAUCUGUUUGUGUUGGGAUGUUUUGGAUGGAAACCUCAGUCUUCUCCACUCCCUAUAAUCGUACCAGGAGUUUUUCUUGCACGCGCUAAGAGCGAAGAGUCUAUUGUGUUGUAACACUGAGCCCAGACAGGCCUGCAACGUUUAUGACGGCAUAUCACUGACAAAAGGCGCAAGCAAACAUGACUUUGUGUGGGCGAACAACUAACACAUCCGUACGCACAAAUCAUUAUUGUAAACACUAUAACUGCACUUGCGGUCAGCAGUUCUCCUGAUCGCGAGAGCAACAAUAAAGCCUGUGAGGCAGAAACGAUUCAUUGAGCGCUCACGUAAAGUGAAGCAGCACACAACUGACACCCCUACGCCCACAAAUAAUGUCUUUGCUCUCUUUGUGUUUUCCUGCUCGCUCUGAUAUUUUUCUUCUCUCAACACAAUGUACAUAAUAUUGGAAUAAAACUUCUCAUACUAAACGUCUAGAUGCACUGAUAACAUGUAUUACAAUACAAUACACAAUAUCCUACAAUAAAUGUAACAUUAAUAUUCAAA